rnacentral:rRNA from 1 species
CCUACGGGGGGCUGCAGUGGGGAAUAUUGGACAAUGGGCGAAAGCCUGAUCCAGCCAUGCCGCGUGUGUGAAGAAGGCCUUCGGGUUGUAAAGCACUUUCAGUGGGGAAGAAAGCCUUGGGGCUAAUACCCUCGAGGAAGGACAUCACCCACAGAAGAAGCACCGGCUAACUCCGUGCCAGCAGCCGCGGUAAUACGGAGGGUGCGAGCGUUAAUCGGAAUUACUGGGCGUAAAGCGCGCGUAGGCGGUCUGAUAAGCCGGUUGUGAAAGCCCCGGGCUCAACCUGGGAACGGCAUCCGGAACUGUCAGGCUAGAGUGCAGGAGAGGAAGGUAGAAUUCCAGGUGUAGCGGUGAAAUGCGUAGAGAUCGGGAGGAAUACCAGUGGCGAAGGCGGCCUUCUGGGCUGACACUGACGCUGAGGUGCGAAAGCGUGGGUAGCAAACAGGAUUAGAUACCCGAGUAGUC